UACGUAGGGCGCAAGCGUUGUCCGGAAUUAUUGGGCGUAAAGAGCUCGUAGGCGGCUUGUCACGUCGGAUGUGAAAGCCCGGGGCUUAACCCCGGGUCGGCAGUGGAUACGGGCAGGCUAGAGGUAGGUAGGGGAGAAUGGAAUUCCCGGUGUAGCGGUGAAAUGCGCAGAUAUCGGGAGGAACACCGGUGGCGAAGGCGGUUCUCUGGGCCUUACCUGACGCUGAGGAGCGAAAGCGUGGGGAGCGAACAGG
rnacentral:rRNA from 1 species